UACGUAGGGGGCAAGCGUUGUCCGGAAUCAUUGGGCGUAAAGAGCGUGUAGGCGGUCCGGUAAGUCCGCUGUAAAAGUCAAGGGCUCAACCCUUGAAAGCCGGUGGAUACUGCCGGGCUAGAGUCCGGAAGAGGCGAGUGGAACUCCUGGUGUAGCGGUGAAAUGCGCAGAUAUCUGGAGGAACACCGGUGGCGAAGGCGACAUCCUGGACCGGUAUUGACGCU
rnacentral:rRNA from 1 species